ACAGCAGUAGCCGCGGUAAUACAGAGGGUGCAAGCGUUAAUCGGAAUUACUGGGCGUAAAGCGCGCGUAGGUGGUUUGUUAAGUUGGAUGUGAAAGCCCCGGGCUCAACCUGGGAACUGCAUCCAAAACUGGCAAGCUAGAGUACGGUAGAGGGUGGUGGAAUUUCCUGUGUAGCGGUGAAAUGCGUAGAUAUAGGAAGGAACACCAGUGGCGAAGGCGACCACCUGGACUGAUACUGACACUGAGGUGCGAAAGCGUGGUGAGCAAACAGGAUUAGAUACCCCCGUAGUCCCUGUCUCUUAUAC
rnacentral:rRNA from 1 species